rnacentral:rRNA from 1 species
CCUACGGGAGGCAGCAGUGAGGAAUAUUGGUCAAUGGACGAGAGUCUGAACCAGCCAAGUAGCGUGAAGGAUGACUGCCCUAUGGGUUGUAAACUUCUUUUAUAUGGGAAUAAAACGUUCCACGUGUGGGAUUUUGUAUGUACCAUAUGAAUACGGAUCGGCUAACUCCGUGCCAGCAGCCGCGGUAAUACGGAGGAUCCGAGCGUUAUCCGGAUUUAUUGGGUUUAAAGGGAGCGUAGGUGGAUUGUUAAGUCAGUUGUGAAAGUUUGCGGCUCAACCGUAAAAUUGCAGUUGAAACUGGCAGUCUUGAGUACAGUAGAGGUGGGCGGAAUUCGUGGUGUAGCGGUGAAAUGCUUAGAUAUCACGAAGAACUCCGAUUGCGAAGGCAGUUCACUGGACUGCAACUGACACUGAGGCUCGAAAGUGUGGGUAUCAAACAGGAUUAGAUACCCCUGUAGUC